AUUGAACGCUGGCGGCGUGCCUAACACAUGCAAGUCGAGCGGCAGCGCGGGAGCAAUCCUGGCGGCGAGCGGCGGACGGGUGAGUAACGCUUGGGAAUCUGCCUGUUAGUGGGGGACAACCCGGGGAAACUCGGGCUAAUACCGCAUACGCACUACGGUGGAAAGCCGGGGACCGCAAGGCCUGGCGCUAACAGAUGAGCCCAAGUCGGAUUAGCUAGUUGGUAGGGUAACGGCCUACCAAGGCGACGAUCCGUAACUGGUCUGAGAGGACGACCAGUCACACCGGAACUGAGACACGGUCCGGACUCCUACGGGAGGCAGCAGUGGGGAAUAUUGGACAAUGGGGGAAACCCUGAUCCAGCGACGCCGCGUGGGUGAAGAAGGCCUGCGGGUUGUAAAGCCCUUUCAGUGGGGAAGAAAGCCUCGACCUAAUACGUUGGGGUCUUGACGUAACCCAUAGAAGAAGCACCGGCUAACUCUGUGCCAGCCGCCGCUGU
rnacentral:rRNA from 1 species